GCCCAGAUGGCGGAAUCGGUAGACGCGCUGGUCUCAAACACCAGUAGGCUCACCCCUGUGCCGGUUCGACCCCGGCUCUGGGUA
rnacentral:tRNA from 1 species